GAUGAACGCUGGCGGCGUGCCUAACACAUGCAAGUCGAGCGAUUCUCUUCGGAGAAGAGCGACGGACGGGUGAGUAACGCGUGGGUAACCUGCCCUGUACACACGGAUAACAUACCGAAAGGUAUGCUAAUACGAGAUAAUAUGCUUUUAUCGCAUGGUAGAAGUAUCAAAGCUCCGGCGGUACAGGAUGGACCCGCGUCUGAUUAGCUAGUUGGUAAGGUAACGGCUUACCAAGGCGACGAUCAGUAGACGACCUGAGAGGGUGAUCGGCCACAUUGGAACUGAGACACGGUCCAAACUCCUACGGGAGGCAGCAGUGGGGAAUAUUGCACAAUGGGCGAAAGCCUGAUGCAGCAACGCCGCGUGAGCGAUGAAGGCCUUCGGGUCGUAUAGCUCUGUCCUCAAGGAAGAUAAUGACGGUACUUGAGGAGGAAGCCCCGGCUAACUACGUGCCAGCCGCCGCCGUAA
rnacentral:rRNA from 1 species